UACGAAGGGGGCUAGCGUUGCUCGGAAUUACUGGGCGUAAAGCGUGCGUAGACGGCUAUCUAAGUCGGGUGUGAAAGCCCCGGGCUCAACCUGGGAAUUGCAUUCGAGACUGAAUAGCUAGGGUACGGUAGAGGGAAGUGGAAUUUCCGGUGUAGCGGUGAAAUGCGUAGAUAUCGGAAGGAACAUCAGUGGCGAAAGCGACUUCCUGGACCAGUACCGACGUUCAGGCACGAAAGCGUGGGGAGCAAACAGG
rnacentral:rRNA from 1 species